UACCAGACUCCUACGGGAGGCAGCAGUGGGGAAUAUUGCACAAUGGGGGGAACCCUGAUGCAGCGACGCCGCGUGAGUGAAGAAGUAUUUCGGUAUGUAAAGCUCUGUCGGCAGGGAAGAAGAAAGACGGUACCUGACCAAGAAGCCCCGGCUAACUACGUGCCAGCAGCCGCGGGAAUACGUAGGGGGCAAGCGUUAUCCGGAUUUACUGGGUGUAAAGGGAGCGUAGGCGGGAUGGCAAGUUGGGUGUUAAAUCUACCGGCUCAACUGGUAGUCGCACUCAAAACUGCUAUUCUUGAGUGAAGUAGAGGCAGGCGGAAUUCCUAGUGUAGCGGUGAAAUGCGUAGAUAUUAGGAGGAACACCAGUGGCGAAGGCGGCCUGCUGGACGAUGACUGACGUUGAGGCUCGAAAGCGUGGGGAGCAAACAGGAUUAGAUACCCCAGUA
rnacentral:rRNA from 1 species